UGCAGCCUGCUUGGAUCAUCACUUAGGGUACACAGUAGCCAAGUUUUGAAAUACCACACCCCACCACACCAUGAGGAUGGAAGCAGACUGGAGAUCCUUGGGACAUCUGCUGACAAGUUUACACAUGAAAAUUAAUUGGUAUAACAUGGUUACUAUGCAGAUGCCAUACCCAAGCAUGGAGCCCACUCAGCUCACUGUCACCAUACAUCUCCUGGGUGCUGCUGGCAGACAUGGUACUGCAGUGCUA